CUUGGAUUCCAUAUGUCCCUGAGUUAUUUUUAUCAUAAAGCCACAAAUGUAUUAUAAGGCAAAUUGUAAUAUAUAUAAUCCUAAACUCAUGACCAUGUCUCAGUUUAUUUUUUUCUUGGAGUGAAAAGUACUGAAAUUCAGUGUGACAUUAAAAUGAAAAUUUUCCUAUUUAUUUGAAUAUAAAAAUCACUUACCAGUGAAUCAUAUACUAUUUUAAAAUACUUCUUUGGAUGUUUGUGAUUCUUUACUGGUUGUGAAUUAGAGAAGCUGGGAAUACAUAUGGUGUGCAGUGAAGUCUGAAUUUUCCCGUCCUCCUGUGCAUCCUCCUAAGCAUGGGAUGUCUGGGCCUGGAAAUGUUUUUUUUUAAAAACACCACUUUUAUUAUG
rnacentral:lncRNA from 1 species